rnacentral:rRNA from 1 species
AUUGAACGCUGGCGGUAGGCCUAACACAUGCAAGUCGAACGGCAGCACAGUAAUAGCUUGCGCUUACAGGGGGCGAGGGGCGGACGGGUCAUGGAUACAUCGGAAUCUACGGUUGCGUGGGUGAGGACGUAGGGAAACUUACGCUAAUACCGCAGACGACGUACGGGUGAAAGCAGUGGAUCUUCGGACCUUGCGCGAUUGAAUGAGCGGAUGUCGGAUUAGCUAGUUGGCGGGGUAAAGGCCCACCAAGGCGACGAUCCGUAGCUGGUCUGAGAGGAUGAUCAGCCACACUGGAACUGAGACACGGUCCAGACUCCUACGGGAGGCAGCAGUGGGGAAUAUUGGACAAUGGGCGAAAGCCUGAUCCAGCCAUACCGCGUGUGUGAAGAAGGCCUUCGGGUUGUAAAGCCCUUUUGUUGGGAAAGAAAAGCAGUAGGUUAAUACCACGCUGUUUUGACGGUACCAACAGAAUAAGCACCGGCUAACUUCGUG